rnacentral:lncRNA from 1 species
AGAAACAAUAUGUCAAUGUCAGACAGAAAAAAACAGUCCUGUUAGUCUGUUAGAAGAAGACAACAAGGUGACUAAUAAUAUCGACAACGGUAAGAUGGAAACAUCGGGAUAUUUAUAUAAAGAAACCAUUUCACGAUCAAGUCUCUCAGAUGAUGGAAAAAGCAGCAUCAAAAAGUACGGAAUUGAUAGCGAAUCUUGUGCAGAUGUGAAAGGUAAUACAUUGCAGUGUUUUUGUCCUUUUAUAAAUCAGCACGACAGCAAAUUUUUAUUAUUAAAUGUAUUUAAUUU